GUGGAUUCCUCUUCCACGCAUCAAACUCAAGAAAAAUGGCCCUCAAAGUUUCUACUGCCAUUGUAUUUUGCUUCAUUGCGUUUCUCGUCCUCGCUCAUCCUAUAAUUGCUUCCCGACAAAUCGAGACUGUUCUUAGUGAGACUAUAGCCCCAUCGAGUGUUGUCAUCCGAAGCCCGUCUCCCGAGUACCCGUUGAGUUUCAUCGGAAGCCCGUCCCCUGGAGCCGGCCAACCUCAAUUCUUGGAAGAAUAUCGAGGAAGCCCGUCCCCAGGGGGUGGAAUACUCGCAUGACAUAAGUCUCCAUGGCGAGGCAAAGAUCAUGAUAUACAGUUCAUGAAAAGUUCAGUUCGAUCAUCCAAAUUAACACAAUUACAGCCUUUUUAUGAUCUGUUUGCAUUUGGUACGUACGUUAAUAAGCAUGCAUGCAUGGUUCUUGCACCAAUCCUUCAUACAGACAAUCAUAAUAUUAUUAAUAUCCCCAUUCUGUCUCUAAUCUAGCAUCGUUUGUUGUCAUCAAUAAGAGAUCAUUUCAUCAGAUCUGGAAUUUGUUUCUGUCCAAAAUCUCUAGUCUGGAUCGAUGUGAUCACCAAAGAUAUAUCUGGCAUUUGUUUGAUCUUUUCAUUGUUGUGUACAGCUACAAAUAUGGUUCCUUCGGCUACAAAUUUAGCAAA